rnacentral:rRNA from 1 species
UAGGGAAUCUUCGGCAAUGGACGAAAGUCUGACCGAGCAACGCCGCGUGAGUGAAGAAGGUUUUCGGAUCGUAAAACUCUGUUGUUAGAGAAGAACAAGGACGUUAGUAACUGAACGUCCCCUGACGGUAUCUAACCAGAAAGCCACGGCUAACUACGUGCCAGCAGCCGCGGUAAUACGUAGGUGGCAAGCGUUGUCCGGAUUUAUUGGGCGUAAAGCGAGCGCAGGCGGUUUCUUAAGUUUGAUGUGAAAGCCCCCGGCUCAACCGGGGAGGGUAAUUGGAAACUGGGGGGCUUGAGUGCAGAAGAGGAGAGUGGAAUUCCAUGUGUAGCGGUGAAGUGCGUAGAUAUAUGGAGGAACACCAGUGGCGAAGGCGGCUCUCUGGUCUGUAACUGACGCUGAGGCUCGAAAGCGUGGGGAGCAAACAGG